AUGGUGUACGUGCAACACGUCCAAUUCAAUUGUACAUUGGGGAGCUUUAUGCCGUCGUUUUUCACUCUGAUUACUCUCUUCUUUCGCUACACGGAUGAUGCCCAAGGUUUGGCCUUGUUCAAAGGCAUGAAUCUAUUUACUGAUCUGUUACAGGGUGCGCUUGCAAGGGGCAACCGAGCAGCGGUUAGAAAAAAUGUUCAUGAAAAAGUGUGUUCGCACGUGAAUGCAAGGGGCAACCGAGCAGCGGUUAGAAAAAAUGUUCAUGAAAAAGUGUGUUCGAACAUGAACAUGUCACGUGUACCCUUGAAUUGA
rnacentral:rRNA from 1 species